CGUCUCGCUGCUAUUUUAUUCUCUUUUUACCUAAAAAACUAUCCAUCCGACCUAUAUCGAAGCAGAUUCCAAAAUAUUGCACGCAACAUAAGCGUUGUGCCUUUCUUUGUAGGCCUCCACAGGGCUUUCCGAAGCGGAGCGAAUAGUAUAAAAUCCGUUAACGUCAGUUGAUCUACGAGCAACCUGAUUUACUAACUGAAAUUUUUCUUUACUUAACUGACUCUUUCUAACACUUACAUCGCGACGUUAGCUCAGCGGGUGACGAAUCAGAGGGGUAAUCUCAUUUGAGACUCAGCGCUUGCCUCUCUUUCUUUGUAUAGUAUGUUCGUGUGUUUGGGCGACUGGACGCCGUGUGGUUAGCUGAAGCAGACAAUUUGAGUAUCCUAGCAGCUACAGCAGCAGAGAGAAGUCUCUGUUCACGUAUUCGCCUUAGGUUUAGGUAGUUAGAUGCCGUCGAAUUUGAAUUCCCAUUCAAUGAAGGUUUGACGCAGCAGGCUUGAUUAGGUUGUAUAGCUGGAUCUGGUUGAUUAGGGACGUCCUUGAUGAGAUUUGCGAAAAAGGGUAGCAGGAUUAGCGAACAUUCUGGGGUUUGCUGGAGAAGCUGGAUUGCGACGGAAGGAGCGAGAGCGGAAUCAAUCUCUCGUCGAGCAAAAGGCAGUGCAUAGAAGGAAGGAAGCGAGGCAGAAAGGGCAUGUUCCACUUCAAAGACCAGUGUCGCAUCAAUCAAGGGCUUGUCCGUUCAAGCGAAAAGACCAGCGUCGCAUCAGCAGCUUGGUCAGCCAGCCUUUUUCGGAAUGCGAAAACAGCCUGCUCGCGCAAUGCCCCGGCAUCCAUCCAAUGCAUUCUUUGAGAGACAGUAGGGGACACUUAUAGAUCAUAAACAAAAUAUCGAUGAAAAAUAAAUCAAAAACUACAAGCAACUACAUCAACAACCCCUAUUCCUGAAGUGAACUCUAGUCGCUCUCGCUCCGCUCAUAUACUAACUUUUCGAAACCGAGACAACCAGAAAAAAUGAAUCUUCAUCAAACUUCUGUUUAAUAAUAUAUCAAGAUUCAUAGUAGCAAAUGCCCUUGAUUCGCGAGAACCAAUUCGAGGUUUCAACCGCUUUUAUUCUUCAUUCUUUCUUCUUUCUUUAUCAUCUUUGUAGGGGGAAUCAAACUGCACUUGAUUGAGCCAAUAUCACAAUUUCGAUACCGCUACUACCACUAUAGCCGUUGCCCCCCUUAUGACGUAUGCCCCUUCACGGGAUGGGAGGUGACCUUCGCUACACUCGCCAUUGGGCAACCUCCGGGCAGGUAUCGGCUUGUUCUAUUCUGAUGUCAUUUUGAUUUUCUAUGAUAUAUCGCGAUCAUAGAAAAGCAGAAGAUGAGAAUUGUUGCUGCUUUCAUAUUUUUGCAAUCAUCACACACCAGAAUUGACCGUCGGUGGGGUUUUGUGGGAAGCAAACCUCCUCAUAGGCUAUACCUAAUACCCAACCUUGCCAAAGGGCUCCAUCUGUUCCAAUAGAGAAUUGGGAGAAUACAGAGAAUACCUUUCAUGAAUCCCAACUUCAGUAUUGAUACAAGAUGGCUGCGGUUAUGUACAACAUGCGUACCCCAGCCUUGCCAAUACGACUGGACGUGACUAAUGAACAAAUCAAAGAGUACAACUCAAGUACAAGUACAUGAGACAUAAGUGACACACAUACGCUAACACUCCCCCAAACGAAUGGAGAUUGAUCAUUCCCAGCUUGCUCAUCAAAGAAGGGCCCUGCUAAGUCCCUUGGUGAGGAUGUCGGAAAUCUGAUCCUCACUAGAGAUGUAAGGAGUCCUUAUGAUGCUUGCCACCUGAUCUUCGACCACCCUUGAGCCUUAGAUAAAUAACUGAACUUGAUAAAACGAUUCUUCAAUAGGAAAACGAGAAGCUCCAACGGGAGCAAACCCUGGCUGCCUUCUGGGAGCAUAUGCCUCCCAUCGAUCCCGUUCUCAUACGAGAUCGUAUGCUUUUUCUUAGAAAGAAAAUAAGCUUCCUUGAAAACAGGAAGAGGGCGCUGCUCAAGGAAGAGCAAGAGCUCAUUGUGCGGGCUGCCACCCUCGGUGAUCGAUCCACUGGGGAGAAUUAACAAGCCCUUAAAAUACUGUUCAUUGUUAUGUUUAAUUAAGUUCUAUGUCUUUUGUUAACUUAAUAUGUUGUUAGUUAACUUUGUAAUGUUGUGUUUAGUUGUGUGGCUGAAAGUUGUCCAUGUGUAAGCUUCCUAUUGGAUGUACUCCCUUGUAUAAAAACUUUAUUGUAGUGCUGGAAUGAAGAAGAAGAAAAAUCUGCUCUGUUCUAGUUCAUUCUCUUUCCCUUAACUAGUCUCAGGUGCAGAAAAAUUUAAGAUUUUUCUUUUUUGUGAAAUCUGGUUUUUUUCUUGUUAAUUUCUAACAUAUAAAAGCUGAAACUACAGCCAACAGGGUGGAAGUUGUGUGUUUGUUGUCCUUUCUAGUCUAGUGCACUCAAUAACCAUAAAAGCCUUUAGAUCAACUAAUAGCGAAAGAAAGAAAGGAUUUACCCUCUCCCUAGUAACUUACGUCAACAAACUCAUGCAAAAAAUGAGGAACAACAUCUGAUUAGCCCUUUAUAAUACUACCCCUCUUUCCGUAAUAGAUUCCCCUAACGCUAGACUGACAAUAAGAACUCCCCUAUCAUCCGCAUAAGGGCUCCCAUAAAAUCCUCUUGUUAGGGUCGAUUGUUUGGCUUGAGCUUGAGUGGGUGGAAGAUUGAAGGCUCGGUAAAGUAAAGGCCUUUUCCCUUAAAGUUACAGGGGAGGCGCGUUUAGCCCUAUAUAAAGGGCUUUAGCCUUUUCUUCGCUCCCCCAAUCCGGUAAAAUAGAACCUCUAAGGUAAGACGACAGGUUUAAGUGAAAUUCGAGAGUUUAUGUGCAUAUAAUACCCUUUUCUAUUUUAUUAUCUUAUAUAGUUUUUAGAUUCCAUGUGUAGAAAAUCAUGUGGUAUUAAUGGCACCGACAAUAUGAAAAUAUGAAGUGAUAUACCUCUGCAAUCGAAAUGCGUCCAAGACAUAUAUACCAAUAUGGAGGUCAACCUAAUUCAACGAUGCACGUGAACAAGGUCCGGUUUGUAAAGACUGAUUUUCAUUUCCAAUUUUGAAGAAGGCCACAAUGUUUCCAUUUAUCGGUCAAUCGCAUCAUUAUCUGGUUUGAAUUUCUCCCGACCCGACUACAAAAGAGUUUGAAUCAAUGCAACCCUCAGGGAAUUCAUAUAUUUAUAUAGAUAGAUAUAAAUAGAAAGUCUAUUUUCGAUUAUACUAUUUUUUUAAAUUAAAUAAAAUAAAAUAAGAAAUAGGUCGUACCCACUAGGAAGCCUAUCACCAACUAUCUUCAUAACGGACUAUGGAAAGUUUUACUAUACCAUAGUAGGGUGGAAUUUGGAGCGAAUGAACCACUAUUUAAGAACUAUACUACCCUGAACUAACCCUAAGAUGCGAUGGUUUUAUACAUAUGGGCAUGCGAAAGAAAUGCUUUCCUUAUUCCCAUGAAGUCAGGAUUUCUUAGGACCAACAUAGGAGGGCAUAUAUCUUGACUAUAUGCCACCUUCUAUCGCACUAUAGUUUUUAUUUUUUUGGUCUACCUUGUGAGAUACCUUUUCUACCUUUAUAUAUACCGAAUUGAGGAAAUUAUUGUAACCAUCCUAAAGAUCAGUUGGGUGGGUGCCUUGAGCCCUAAUUUUAUAGACAGAUAGUCAACUGCCAUUACUCCGGUUCUAUAUGGGAGCGCUUGAAAUGGUUUGGUUUAACCGAAUGCUCGCGUCGGCUGAUCGUAGACCAACCUCUAUGCUAAGUUUUGCUUUGCAUGGAGGUUGCGCGAAAAGGCGGUCCUAGGACGGAUGACGAGCUACUGGAAAAAAACCUGUAGGUAGGUUGGGGUUCAAGGAGGGUGGUCGUAGAUCAGGUUUGAAACCAGUUCAAUAAAUAUCAUAUUUUUAAUAAAGGGAAAGCGCAGUCACUCGACUUUCAAGCCUUCCAAUUGGAGUACGAAGGUAAGCAGCAAACCCAAUUGUAGUUCUAAGAUAAUCCCUUUUUUUAGGCAUUCCUAUUAUCUUCGAUGGGGGUUCCAGCGAGCCAUUUACAUUCCAGUUCUAAGACUUUCCUAACUAAUUCCUUACAUGUGGGAAGAGUUUGAGGUCCAUUCUUUCUACUAUCCCGUGAGAGUGCUACGGUCUUCACCUCUAGCCAUUGGGAAUUCUCUUUUUAGUUCCUUGCCAGCCGUAAUGCCUUCUCCUAAGUGCUUUCCCUUCAUGGCGAUCCAUUCCAUUCGAGGCAAUAGGUAGCUUGCUUACUUAGUAGCGAUCCCUGGGCGGGAUUACAGAGAAUGAGAACUCCCACUUGCAGGAAAUAUCUUCACAGGUAAAGGGGAAAAAAGAGAAAAACGAGAAGGAAAUCUCUCUAUGUUAGCUAGCCCUCCAACUAUCUAUUUAUAGACCUACCAAAACCAGAGAACUAUAGCCUUCCUAGAGAAAGAAAGAGAUUGCCCAGGUGCAUACCUUUACCCUAGCCUUGCUUAAACUGGCUUAUUGGCUGGAACUCCCAGCGACAUCAAAAGAAACUCGCGUGGAUCCUAUUUUCUCGGCUGCACCAACAGCAAAGGAAACUCCAACUGGCGCUAGGGAGAUUCUCUAGGCUGGCCCACCAUCGAAAGGAACCUAUGUCGUAAAUAGAAGUAAGAAGUAAAGACUCGCAUGGAAACAUUUCUGUAUACAGAAUGGGAAGAAAAAGAGUCAGUCCUAUCCUAUACUAAUCAAAAGAAAUCCCUCCUCACUGGCUUCCAACUCGAGAAAGAAAGGACAGGAGACAUAAAAGAAAAUAGGAAAAAUAUAGAAGAAAGACUCUAAAUUUCGUAAGUAAAGAGAAAGCCUUUUCUGCUAAAGCGGAAGAAGAGUACGUUUCUAAGUCAAUCUAUCUUCCGAGAGCCAAUCGAGAAAACGGAAAGCUCCGGCUUUCGAGCCUCCGCUUGCUCCUCCGAAAAUCUCUCUUCAUAUAAAUUCUUUCUCUUUUUUGCUCAGCAAAAGAGUAAGCCGUCGAUGUCAACUUUCUCCAGGUGACCAAUCCAGGAUCAUCUUCGUUAGUGUUCUUUCUUUUUCCCAUGCUUUUCCGUUGGUCAACAACCAACCAACCAUUUUCGACAAGUCUUUCCUCAUUUGUGUUGGGGAGCAGAGCAGUCAAAGAAGAAAGCAAAUGAAAUUGAAGGUUACGGAUAAUCAACAAUUAGAUAAUAAAGAAAUAAUAAAAGUUUUUAAUAACAUAAAAAUUUCUUUCAAUGAGACAAUAAAAAAUGAAGAAAAGAAAGAAUUUUUAAUAACAUUAUCGGAUUUCGUAUGUAAUGAUCUAAUCAGACGUGGUAAUCUAAUUAAUAAUAGAAAAAAUAUCCUUCGCCCGUUAUCUCCUCAUCUUCCUAUUUAUAAGCCACAGCUCACUUCGACGUUUCCAAUUUACCAUAGAAUAUCCGGGGCUUUCCUAGCCACUCUAGUUUUGUUUUUUUAUCUUCUUUGUCUGAAAAUAGGGUUGAUUUGCUUCACCUAUGAGAAUUUCUACCAAUUCUUUUUUUUUUCAUCCAAGCUCAUCCUAAUCUCCGUCGGGAUUACUGCCUUAGCCCUGUCCUAUCAUCUGUAUAAUGGAGUUCGUCAUUUAUUGACGGAUUUUUCGGGAUUUCUCUUUCAAUGCUUUAGAAUUGGAAGAAGUUGAGAUUCAAAAAAAUAAAUUGGAUUAAAUUAUGAAAUGUUUAUUCUUCGUUGAUAGCUCUCUUCUUUUAAGCUUAUGCCGUAGAAGCGGCUAUUGGCGUUUUAUCUGCAUCUUCCCGACCAUGAGGGGGUUCCGUUUGGGAUGAACUCGCAAAGACUCGACCCGAGGACUUCCCUCGUAGAGUGGCGUCUUUUAUAAGACUCGAGUUUCUCAGCGGAACUCAAAAAAAAAAAAAGAGUUUGAGCUCUUUUGGCUUACUUUUAGCCACGCGGGGCGGCUAUCCGCAUGUGUCCUAAAGUGACGUCCAUUUUUUGGUAAUGGGUAUACUCGAGAGAGAAGUUUGGAAUUCGACCUCCCGCGGAAGUCUUAUCGAUUCUCUUAUCAUCGAAAAAACCAAUUCUUAAUUUUUUCAACAUCGAGAAAACGAAGACUUUCUUAACCACAUGAAUAGACUUAAGGAUAUGAAACCUGCGCCUCAGAUAAAGAUGACAACUGGAACAACUGGCCAUGACAAGCAGUGGUUCGAAGAAAAGAGGUCUAUCAGGAAAGGAAUAUGGGCUUUGCUCUAACCGAAGCAAUUGCAUCCUUUGCCCUCUUCUUCGCAAGUAAGCAACUGUUUUUUUUUCUCAUCCGUAUUCCGAUCGAGUUAAAGUGUUGAUUUUCAUUCAACCAACUAUCUUUUUGAAGCAGAUAGUUCACAGUGCUCAUUCUAUAGAUACUGGAAAAGCCAACUCAUGUUUCCACUCCAUUUUCAUUACGAAGAUGUAUCACGUCAGGAUCCGUUGCUCAAACCGAAUCACGCCAACGUUAUGGAAGUUCCUGGAUCGUGUGAAAUAAGAGUAAUACCAAAAAGACCCUCGUCUUUCAUAAUCCAAAAUGGAAAAUUGGCUAUGGAGAUUCCGCGCGGUCAGAGAUUCAUACAGACACAAAGGGGUUCGACAGGAAAGUCGUUUCGAUCCAAUCAAUUCUUGGGGUCAAAUAAAGACAAAGGAUAUGUCAGUGACCUAGCACGACAAAGCACUCUCCGAGGGCAUGGAAUGUCUAAUUUUUCGGUCAGAAUCUCGAUAGUAAUGUCUCUGUUAGAUUCUCCGGUCGAAAUACGGGAAAACUCCAUUCAAUUCUCGAUGGAAACGGAGUUUUGCGAAUUCUCCCCAGAACUGGAAGAUCAUUUCGAGAUCUUCGAACAUAUUCGAGGGUUCAAUGUGACUAUUGUCACUUCGGCCAACACACAAGAUGAGACUUUACCACCGUGGAGCGGCUUUUUUCAAAAAGAUGAGGGUCAGUAAGAUGUCGGAGAAGCUAAAUAUACGAGAUCACAAACGUAGAUUGCUCGCGGCUAAAUAUGAAUUGAGACGAAAGCUUUAUAAAGCCUUUUGUAAAGAUCCCGAUCUUCCUAGUGAUAUGCGGGACAAACAUCGUUAUAAGUUGUCCAAGUUGCCAAGAAAUAGUUCCUUUGCACGAGUAAGAAACCGAUGUAUUUCCACGGGUCGCCCUCGUUCCGUAUAUGAGUUCUUUCGAAUUUCUCGUAUCGUUUUUCGUGGAUUAGCAUCUCGAGGUCCUUUGAUGGGCAUAAAGAAAUCGUCUUGGUAGCAACCACCAAACCAAUAGAACAAGGGUUAGCUCUGCAGCUGGUCUACAAGCAAGGUAAGUAGGUCCAUUACCGGCCGGCUCCGGACCGAAAAGACCUAACAGAGUAAUCCCUUAUCUCGGAUCGGAGAUACUAACGGGGCGGGAAUCGAAGUGGGGGACCUCUCUACCGCCUGUGUCUAUCUCCUGUCAAGUAUGCUCCCCAGACAUAGACUACGUACAGGUACAGGGUAGUACUCUUGGAAAGAUAGAAUAUCACCGCGUGAACAUAACAUUAAGUUACGAAUGUAACUCCCGAGGGAUCGACCACUAUUCUAAAUAUAGUAAGGCGGAUAACUGUUGUUCAUUGGAGCGCCGGAGUGCGGAGGUUGUUCCCAUCAUUGAAGUCAGAGUGUGGGACUGAGCCUUCCGAAUGAGAAAGACAAAAAAGUGCUUAGUUUCGUUGGAAAAACCAACGCAAAUAUCAUAUUUACUUUAUCUCGCCCUACUUCUAAGGAUAGUGGGAGAGAGUGACUUUCUGAAAUUCUCUCCUUUCUAAAGCUGCGCAAGGCGGCCCCCCCCAGAACAAAGCCCCACCCCUCUUUUCCCCCCUUUAAUGAAAGACCCUCGCCCCGCUUCCUAUUCAUUUGUGGGUCGGGACCCGAGGGCCUUUUUGAUUUUCUCAAGAGGUGAUUUCGAGAAUCAACCAACCGACAAAUCCGUAGCCCAGGUGACUCACAGCCUCCCUCUCGCCCAAAUGAAAUGGGAUGAAUCAAAUCAAUAAGCUUUUUGAUUGAUUCAGGGCGCAGCGAAGCCAAAUUAAAUCAAGGCAAGGGCUUUUCCUGACGCUGAGUCAUCCUAUUCAAAUUUAGCUAUGCUAAUGGAACAGGAAAAGUUUUCAGAUGAUAUGGACCCCUGAGCGAGAACUGAACAUUGCUUAGGGGUCGCACUCUGUCCCGCUUGGUGGACGAAAGAUUCUCUCCUUUUAUCAUUCUUUCUCCCACACACCUUUGCCCUCUUUCACCGAAGAGGAAAGAAGAAUCUUCCAAGCGGACAGAGACCUAAUAAAUUUCCAUUAGAUUCAUUCCUAAGCUUGCUUUGUUGCAGCAAGAUGAUCAGUCCGAGAGUGCUGGAGAGAAGAGAAAGCGGUAAAAACCUCUCUGAUUCGGUCACCGAGCAGUCGGACGACUCUUCAGUAACCCAGGAUGACCCCUUCGACGCUUCUUUCGCUGUAUACCCCCUCCAUCCUUCGGAGGUGGAAGAAGGGGUACUCUUAGAUAUAAAAUUAGAUUAUCUAUAAUUAUAUAUAUAUAUCUAUAUAUCUAUAAUUAUAAUUUAGUAAGUAGGGCCCCAGAACGCUAAAAAGGUGGGGGAACAAGAGUUGUCACGAUAGAAAAGAGAAAUGACUAUAAGGAACCAACGAUUCUCUCUUCUUAAACAACCUAUAUCCUCCACACUGAAUCAGCAUUUGAUAGAUUAUCCAACCCCGAGCAAUCUUAGUUAUUGGUGGGGGUUCGGUUCGUUAGCUGGUAUUUGUUUAGUCAUUCAGAUAGUCACUGGCGUUUUUUUAGCUAUGCAUCACACACCUCAUGUGGAUUUAGCUUUCAACAGCGUAGAACACGUUAUGAGAGAUGUUGAAGGGGGCUGGUUGCUCCGUUAUAUGCAUGCUAAUGGGGCAAGUAUGUUUCUCAUUGUGGUUCACCUUCAUAUUUUUCGUGGUCUAUAUCAUGCGAGUUAUAGCAGUCCUAGGGAAUUUGUUCGGUGUCUCGGAGUUGUAAUCUUCCUAUUAAUGAUUGUGACAGCUUUUACAGGAUACGUACCACCUUGGGGUCAGAUGAGCUUUUGGGGAGCUACAGUAAUUACAAGCUUAGCUAGCGCCAUACCUGUAGUAGGAGAUACCAUAGUGACUUGGCUUUGGGGUGGUUUCUCCGUGGACAAUGCCACCUUAAAUCGUUUUUUUAGUCUUCAUCAUUUACUCCCCCUUAUUUUAGUAGGCGCCAGUCUUCUUCAUCUGGCCGCAUUGCAUCAAUAUGGAUCAAAUAAUCCAUUGGGUGUCCAUUCAGAGAUGGAUAAAAUUUCUUUUUACCCUUAUUUUUAUGUAAAGGAUCUAGUAGGUCGGGUAGCUUCUGCUAUCUUUUCUUCCAUUUGGAUUUUUUAUGCUCCUAAUGUUUUGGGGCAUCCCGACAAUUAUAUACCUGCUAAUCCGAUGCCCACCCCGCCUCAUAUUGUGCCGGAAUGGUAUUUCCUACCGAUCCAUGCCAUUCUUCGUAGUAUACCUGACAAAUCGGGAGGUGUAGCCGCAAUAGCACCAGUUUUUAUAUGUCUGUUGGCUUUACCUUUUUUUAAAAGUAUGUAUGUGCGUAGUUCAAGUUUUCGACCGAUUCACCAAGGAAUAUUUUGGUUGCUUUUGGCGGAUCGCUUACUACUAGGUUGGAUCGGAUGUCAACCUGUGGAGGCACCAUUUGUUACUAUUGGACAAAUUCCUCCUUUUGUUUUCUUCUUGUUCUUUGCCAUAACGCCCAUUCCGGGACGAGUUGGAAGAGGAAUUCCUAAUUCUUACACGGAUGAGACUGAUCACACCUGAUCAGUGAAAAAUUCUGACACCAAUCAUUUAUUUACGAGUGAGUAUUACACCAAGAAUUUACAAGCGGAUUACUUUUAUAGUGCGAACAAACCUGUAGUUUUCUUCGCAGCUCUCAGCCUUUUUCAAUAAGCCCCGCUCCCUAAGGGGCCCCUCUCUGAUAAGGAAGGAAACGAAAUAAUCUCAAUUUUACGACAAAUCCGGUCCGAUGGCUGUUCUCCACUAACCACAAGGAUAUAGGGACUCUAUAUUUCAUCUUAGGUGCCAUUGCUGGAGUGAUGGGCACAUGCUUCUCAGUACUGAUUCGUAUGGAAUUAGCACGACCCGGCGAUCAAAUUCUUGGUGGGAAUCAUCAACUUUAUAAUGUUUUAAUAACGGCUCACGCUUUUUUAAUGAUCUUUUUUAUGGUUAUGCCGGCGAUGAUAGGUGGAUCUGGUAAUUGGUCUGUUCCCAUUCUGAUAGGUGCACCUGACAUGGCAUUUCCACGAUUAAAUAAUAUUUCAUUCUGGUUGUUGCCACCAAGUCUCUUGCUCCUAUUAAGCCCAGCCUUAGUAGAAGUGGGUAGCGGCACUGGGUGGACGGUCUAUCCGCCCUUAAGUGGUAUUACCAGCCAUUCUGGAGGAGCAGUUGAUUCAGCAAUUUCUAGUCUUCAUCUAUCUGGUGUUUCAUCCAUUUUAGGUUCUAUCAAUUUUAUAACAACUAUCUCCAACAUGCGUGGACCUGGAAUGACUAUGCAUAGAUCACCCCUUUUUGUGUGGUCCGUUCCAGUGACAGCAUUCCCACUUUUAUUAUCACUUCCGGUACUGGCAGGGGCAAUUACCAUGUUAUUAACCGAUCGAAACUUUAAUACAACCUUUUCUGAUCCCGCUGGAGGGGGAGACCCCAUAUUAUACCAGCAUCUCUUUCGGUUCUUCGGUCAUCCAGAGGUUUAUAUUCCCAUUCUGCCUGGAUCCGGUAUCAUAAGUCAUAUCGUUUCGACUUUUUCGGGAAAACCGGUCUUCGGGUAUCUAGGCAUGGUUUAUGCCAUGAUCAGUACAGGUGUUCUUGGAUCUCUUGUUUGGGCUCAUCAUAUGUUUACUGUGGGCUUAGACGUUGAUACCCGUGCCUACUUCACCGCAGCUACCAUGAUCAUAGCUGUCCCCACUGGAAUCAAAAUCUUUAGUUGGAUCGCUACCAUGUGGGGGGGUUCGAUACAAUACAAAACACCCAUGUUAUUUGCUGUAGGGUCCAUCUUUUUGUUCACCAUAGGAGGACUCACUGGAAUAGUCACGGCAAAUUCUGGGCUAGACAUUGUUCUACAUGAUACUUAUUAUGCGGUUGCACAUUUCCAUUAUGUACUUUCUAUGGGAGCCGUUUUUGCUUUAUUUGCAGGAUUUCACUAUUGGGUGGGUAAAAUCUUUGGUCGGACAUACCCUGAAACUUUAGGUCAAAUCCAUUUUUGGAUCACUUCUUUCGGGGUUAAUCCGACCCUCUUUCCCAUGCAUUUCUUAGGGCUUUCGGGUAUGCCACGUCGCAUUCCAGAUUAUCCAGAUGCUUACGCUGGAUGGAAUGCCCUUAGCAGUUUUGGCUCUUAUAUAUCCGUAGUUGGGAUUCGUCGUUUCUUCGUGGUCGUAACAAUCACUUCAAGCAGUGGAAACAACAAAAGAUGUGCUCCAAGUCCUUGGGCUGUUGAACAGAAUCCAACCACACUGGAAUGGAUGGUACAAAGUCCUCCAGCUUAUCAUACUUUUGGAGAACUUCCAGCUAUCAAGGAGACGAAAAGCUAUGUGAAGUAAAAGAAGAAAGGGUCGCCGACUGCUACUAAGAACCUAACAGAACUUUUCAAAAUGUGGGUUCUAAAACCACUUGUGUAAGUCGGGGUUGAGAAUUGGGGGGCCGCGCCCUAGCCUCGUCGGCCUAAGCCUCGCUAUGAGAACUGACGCUUGAACUCUUACCGGAAGAGAAGGGAAUCGAAGAAUGGAAUCCCUUUUGGUUUGGUUGCUAGCGAGUGAGGGAAUCGCAGAUGGGCUUAUGACCUAGAGGCUGACCUCGAAGCUCCAGCUUACUUCGCUUCGGGAUUAGCUAUGAACCGUAACUUCAAUCGAUCGGUCUCGCCUGCCAGUAAUAAGCUUGACUAGGCAAAUGUGGAAUCAUCAUAGGUAAGAAGCACAACACCAUGUUCCCUCUUUCCUGUCGAAACUAGUCCCCUUCUUCUGUGAGCUAGGUCCAUGGUUGCUACUUCUCUCGUCUCUGGAAAAGGGAUUUAAACUAGACUAUAUGGUCAGUCACUUCGGGCUACUUUUUUGGGAUCGUGAUACUCGGGCUUAUGAAUUGAAGGAAAUGAGCAUUGUCCUUUCACAUUGAAUCCAAUACUUGCGGUUGAUUUCUUUCGAUGGCUUAGUCAGUCCGUUUGGAACUCUCCCCUAUAUACUAAAAAAAUCGUAGCUGGAGCAAGAAGACGAGUAGAAAAUAAAAUGGGAAUGCCCACCAGGCUUCUCGAGGAAGAUCGGAACAGGCUAAACAGGAGCAUUUGAUAGGGUUCUUAUAUACUUUAUAUCUAAUGGAAAAACUUGUGUUUAUGUUAUAAAUGAAGCUGUUACGAGUGCUUAUGCCGGACUAUAUGGGGUAUAGGGAUCAGUGAAAAGGAAGUUUCUUGCUUAACCACAGGAGAACUGGUUUCCGGUGGGGUGAUUCAUGUUCUUCCGGUUACGGAUGUUGUGCCACUUGAUGUUUCGGGAAGUACGAAGCUCGAGUAGGAGAGAGGGAAGGUCGGGCUGGCUUUGCUUGCUUAACUACUAUGUCGAUUGAUGGCUUGAGUAUGAAGAUGCCUAUGACUACUGCUUGCUUGAAAGAUUUCAGUUUCGGGGAAAAGAGAAGGCACCGAGGGCGGGGGUAAUGGUUGGAGAGUAGGCUUACUUCUUCCUUCGAAGCCUGUUUCGGGUGCUUGCUUGGUCCGGUUCAGGGUGCUUGGACUUUUUUCAAUACCUGCUUGGCUGGCGGGAACGAGUGCAGGAAGAAGAUCAAGGAAAAUACACUACUACAACAUUUGUCUAAAGAAUCUCCUCUUUCCUUCCAUAACUGAUCAUAGUACGAGCGGAUGACUGACCCUUUCUAUACGGAACUGCAUCAAUCAGUUGUCUUCUUUUUUCCCUUGUUCUCUUCCUUACCUUAUUAUAGAAUAAUAAUAGAAGCUAUUAGAAGAAGAAUAUUAGAAAAAAUAAUUAGAAUAAUAAUAAUAGUAAACAGGAUUCUGUUGGAUGAAUCUUGAAAGGCCCACAUCAAAAAAACUUUGUGGUUCGAUCACAAUCAAUUGUUAUUUCGGCUAAGCAGUUAUGGAAGAAUUGACAAUUCCAAUUCGAAUCGACUAAUUCGGAUAGGAUCGGGAAGGUUCAUCUUGAGAAUCCAGAAGCUCUUGGCCUUAAAGCCUUAAAGACGGAGAAGGGGUAAUUCGCGUUCUCUAAGGUCAGGCAGUGAGGCAUUAACAAACAGCAGCAGCGGGUUUGUCAAGCGAAUAGAAACAGCUGCUCGUCAAGCAGGAUCGGAUGGUCGAUCGAAGGGAUUGGUUCGGGCAGGCUCUCGAGGAGUAUAUCGAACCGUGUUUAGCAUCUUCUCGUCAGGCAAGGAAGAGAUAGGUAGCAAGAGAAGGAGUAAGGAGCAGAGCUAGGGAGCAAGGGAAGCCGGGCAGGUCUUGAGUCUUUAGGUCUUUCGUUUUGUUUCUCGUGAGGAUAGCGAUGAGUCUUGAGUAGCCUGAACUGCUUGAGUAUCGAGUUCAGUUCGUAGUUACUCCCGGGCAAGAACAAGUCCAGUCUGGUCGUUCAUCUAGGGAAGCAAGCCGGUAAUCCUCGGGUUGAAGCCGCUUCGUGCCGCUUUGGAUAGCAAAAGAAAGGCCUGACGUCUUUGUUUGCUCGGUGGGAUCGGAUAGGUCGUAUGGGUAGCUAUGUCUUGUAUCGUAUCGGAUAGGGAAGGAGACUGGAUAGCAAGGAUAGGCACUUCUGGGUCUGAUGGUAGCGGUAGGGAAUGAAGGUCAAGUGAAUGGUAAGGAAGGGCAAGGAUGGGAGAUCCGUAUUGAGAUAAAGAUCCCGCGCCAUUAAUAGCUUCAGCAUCCGUUGAUCCUGAACUACCAAUGAUAUAGGCAGGCCCAAAAAGAGACCUAGUAGCAGCCGGGACAUAGCCCGUUAGAGAGCCGAAGGAAGAAAGAUGUUUACCAAGUUAAGCCAACACGAGUAGUUUAACAGCCAUAUCCGUUCGUUAGAGAUCCCAUGUAAAUAGUGAAAAAAGCCCACUUAACUUAGGGGGAAGAGGUGUUUAUAAGGGGUUUGGUAAGGUCCCUCAGGCCAAGUCCAUCCAAGGCUCUCCCAGGUCGCUCAUCCCUGGCGAAUCCUACUCACAUUUGAAUGCGCAACCAUCGGGGAAAGGCAAAUAGUCAAUCCCAGGGGGCGAGUCCAAGCUAACAUUUUUGUCAAUUCGACCAGCAGCCUGAAAAAGGCUGCCUCGCCUAGUGACAUUCCUGCCAAAUCCAUAUGGUGUUUUUACGAGAACUAAGCUAGUCGCUGCAGGCCUAGGUUACCCAGCAUCUGGGGAAGGGGUGCGGGAAGCAGCAUCAAAGCUAGUAGCCGAAGUAAGGGCAUCAGAUCCUGUGCCAAUUGCCUAUGGGUUUGAACCAGUGAACGUAGCAGGGAGAGGGGAAGCUGCAAGCGCAAGGUUCCUUUCACCGGUGAAUGACCCUUUGAUUUGUAAUGGAGUAAUACGUUACCCUCGAGAUGCAGUAGAUUGAUAUUGAGACUCCGCGGUUAGGGACCAAGUUGCGGAUCCAAAUAUAGUGCCUACAAAGGCAGAGCCAAAGGCGUAUCCACCCGUACUAGGUGAGAAAGAGUUGGAAAUAAAGAUGCACUCCCUGGUUCGGGAGGCAGGGGCGCGCUAGCACAUCGCAUUAUCAUCGCUAGACUUGGGUCAGCACAAAAAGCACCCUUUAUUUGAGGUAGCUAGCUUCACCCGUCGAUUCGGUUGACCGAGCCAAUAACCUUGUUGCUUGUGAACCAGUUUCACUAGUUCUGGCUUUCAAUUACAGAGCCUGUUGAAGCACCCAUUCCCAUGAAGAUGCUGGGGGUUAAACUGUUUUUACCUGUAAUCCGUUUCAGUCGAACCAGUAAAUGCGCCAGCUGCAGUACUAGUCGCUUCAUAUCCAUUUCCAGUCCAUCUCGCUUUCAAGUUGAGAAGUAAAGGCUAGUGGGUUAAUCCGUGGGCACUAACUAUUGAUCGAGCUCUUAUUCGAAUUUGAAGGUCUCGGGGAACAACGAGGGGAUGGAUGAAAUGACACCAAGGUAGGUUCUCCCUUUUUGGUAUUUGGUCGUCAAUUCAUUCGCAAUGCCGGCACAGGAUCCCGGCUUUAUUUUAUUGGUCUUGAAUAAGUUCAUCCACCCUUUAUCGGUGAGCGGUCGAGAAUACCUUCUUUGAUUCAUGGCUGAUGGUUCCGUUUUUUCGGGCAUGGUUGCUUGCUUGUCUUACUUGUCUGACUUCUACUUCUACUUAUGACUGACUUAACUUAUCUGACUAAAGUCUUUAUUAAGGUGUGCUUAAUGGUCUAAGUCUUUGAUAUUAGUCCUUAUGGGGAGGGAGUUCUUAUCACUAUCAUUAAAGGAAGGUUCAUUAGUUCUUAUUUAUUUAUAAUAUAGCCCUACACAGGGUCUACAACCCUGGUUAGUCCAAGCCGUCCCUACAUAAAGGACAGCGUCACGUCAAGGUCUAUCGGACAGCUUGCUUCCAGAGUUAUUACACAGUGUUAUGGGUGUUCUUUCUCUUUCUUGCUUGUUGGGACGGACAAGGCCAAAUGGUAAUGGGGACUCCCCUAACAGUUUUGCUGAGAUUAAUGUUGUUCACAACCUUGAUAUUCUUCCGGGGAAUCGUGAUAAAGUGCAGAAAUCAGGUGCCAAUAAGUUUGCUGUCCUGGAAAGCUUAGAAGAGGAGGAUAAUGGGGGGGGGGUAAAAAUUGCGGUUCUGGGUUGCUUGAUCCAAUUACUGCAACUGAGAUUCCAGUUUCUAGUCCUGAAAAUAAAGUUGAGGAGGAAAGUGCUGCUGUUAGAUUGUUGGACAGCAUUUGAUCUCUUCUCGGUCUGGGCAGUCCCAAGGUGAUCUUGUUGGGUCUCUUUCUUAUCCCAGCUCUAGGCAGACCCAUGUAAACUCUGGGACUGUUCUUGCUGAACCUUUGGUGGUGAAUGCUGUGGAUGAAAGGUUGUCGGCCAGCAAGAUAUCUUAAAGUUAUGGGCGGACCCUUGGGUCAUUCUUGGUCUAUUUCUGAUCAAGCUGAACUUUGUUGGAAGGGAGUGAGAACCUCUUUGAUGCUGAGGUUGCGGCUCAUCGAGAACAGUCUCUAGUGUGCAGGGAGACCAUAGCUGAGGUUGGGCUUGAUCCUAAACCUGUUACUAUCCUAGGUAGAAGUGAAAAGACUAAGGGAGAUGCAGAUUAAAGCAUUGCUGAUUCAGAUUCAGAGGAGAUUACUGAAAUUGUGGGGACAAAUUUCAUGACAGGCCCUGUUAUUGAUCUCCAACAUUCUGGUCAUGCAGCAUCGGGUUCCAUGACUGGAAGAGCAGGUAAGAUGAGUGAGAAGCAGCCGCAACCCUCUAGGACAGUUAGAAAACGAGGAAGACCGAGGAAGCUCGGGAAUGGGGCUCCCCUGCAACCUAAUUCCUUCCUUCUCACCUGAGUCUUAAUCUCAAAGAAAGGGAAUUGGCCCUGAUACGGCUUCGAAGACUGUUAGGCAUGGACUGCUAGCGGACUGGAAAGAAGGACUUGUUACAUCCUCAAAAGAUUUAUAAGUACCUCACUUAAAAAAUAGAGAAAAGUCAAGACAAGAAGAAAGUAUCUCCGAUUCCUUUCGGAGAGAAACCGGUCAGGUUUACUUUCGACGUCGUGUCAUCUCGUAUUUGGUCUAGAUCUUAUCAAUGGUUAGAUAAGAUUGAAAGAAAACUCUGGAAGAGUGCUCUGGUCUUGCUAUGGCUCUGGCGCCGAAAGGCCCCUCGAGUCCUCUGGUAGGAUAGAGUAAUAAGACUGUAAGCGCAUCUGAGCGCCUUUUUCCCGCGACAAUAUAUGGACACUCAGGUAAGUUCCAUAGCAACAUAGCAACAUGGAUUAGGAUGACUCUUCGGAAGACUAAGCCCCGUAGGAAUACUAGCAAAUCCAAUGUGACAUGUAUUAGAGGGCAAGGGCUAUCUUUACUCUUUAGCCUGAGAGGGAGAAGGCUUCCCCCCCCUGACUAUUUCUUUUAUGGAACCUCGCAUUCAACCUCCUCGGACAUUAACAUUGAUCUAGUUUAGGCAGCUUUCAGUCCUGGGAAAGGAAGGUAAGGUGAAAUCCCGUUCGUAGAUUAAGAAAUUAAGUAUGUCAGCUCCUUUAGCCCAUCAACAGCGGCGAUAACAUAAGACAGGGAAGGCAUAUCCGAAAGUCCCCCAUCUCGCUUGAGAACGAUGCCCUUUUUUCCCAAGCGAUUCUCUUGUGUGCGUGGAUAUCCUUACUUUCGAUGCCAUAUUCUUAUACGAUGCAUGCCUCCUCUUCCGGAUAGCGUCAUUCUCUGCAUCCCGGCCCUCCACCUAUCCCUUCCUUCUUCUAAUAACAGACAGCGAAAGACGCUAGGCAAACUCUUUUUAUUAAAACCUUUCCUUCUCCCAGCCUACCGCCCUCUCCAAUGCUCUCUUCGCUGGUUGCUUCCCUGCCCGGUUUGAUAAGAAUCUUCUCCCCGUUCUCAUUUCCACCGCCCCCUCUAAGCCCUUUAACACCAUUCGUCCGUCUUCCCUAAAUUCCGAGCUAUCCAUAAUCUAGGUUUUUUUUAAACAAGCCAAGAUUUAUCGCUAAAUUUUUGUCUUCGUUCUUCCCUACCUAUCUGACUAGGUAAGAGCUUUCUUGCUGUGAAAUUAGUUGAUUGGACGGCUACUAUAUAUAAGAGUAGAUACUAGACCUUCGAGCGACGUCGAAAGGUGGGUUUAGUUAAUCCUCAAAAGAAAGUUGUUAAGCUUUCGGUUUCCAGGAAACUCAGAAAUGGCAGAGCAUUCUUUAGUUGCGGAGGGAGCGAGCCCUGCAUCUAUAAGUUGGCCGUAUUACCUUACCGCAGCAUGCUUGUCCUGCGGGUACUGCCCGGGGUCUUACUAAAAAAAAAGACCUCUACGACAGCCAAAAGGAAGUUGAUCAGACCGGGAACAAGCGAGCAAAAUGGGUCUAUACAAUCAAUUUGACCGGUACAUUGCUGACCAUAAGUCGGCAUGAUUUAGUUCUCCUGCAGAUUCCAGACAGAACGACCUGUACCACAACCACUGGCAUAUGCGGUAUGCGGGUGUCAGGUUUAGGUCUAGAUGGAGGUUCUCGUUCCAGUUCUAGUUCGCUUCGGUGCUAUAUUGGUUAUGCCCUUAUAUAGCCCUGUGCUAACGCACAGUGCUUCUUUCUACUACGUCAUCAAAGGCCGUACAGACUGGUCUAAUUUAAAUCAUUUCCAUUUUCCAGAAGAUUUCAGCGACUGCCUUCUUAGUAUCUUCCCAGGCUUUCAGCGCAGCUUGCUCAGAUUCUUCGAUCCUGGCCUUCUGCUCCUCUAAGUUGGUGUCUUUCAGGCUCUGAAGCUCGGCAUGGAGUGGCUCUAACUCGGUCAUUAAGGAGUCAUAGUCCCGAGUGACAUCACUCUGCCUCUUCUCAACGGCUGCCAACUGUUCCUGGAACUUCAUAAUUUGGCUUUUUCAAAUCCUCAACCUCGGCCUCCAUCGAGUCUAGAUCAUUCUCUAUCUUCUCACAUACCGCAACGGACUCCCUGGCCUUGGUUGACUGCUGAAGGAAGGUUUGGAUCUUAGAAUCCAUUUCAUUUUUGCUUUCCGCCGCACUAAGUACCUGCCCCACUAUCAUCUUAAUCUCCUCUUCGAGUGCCAACAUCCUAGCCUUCUCCCCUGCUGAGAUUCCCUGCUCAUCAGCUAAAUUCUUAAUAAUCUGAAGAGGAUCCUUCAGCGCCUCCAAGCUUCUAUUCCCUAUGUCAAUAAUCGCGAAAAAGAAAGAAGUUGACUACAGGAAAAACUACAUUACAAGCUCUCUAUUCCGUCUAGUCUGAUAUUCCGUAACCAGUCCAUUUCUUAUGUCUUUCUAAGCGAGGGGCCGGGUUUCCUUUCGGAGGACCAUUACCGAUAGUAGUCCUAUGCUUCUUUCUAGCUUGGCGCAUUUGCUUUCCUUGAGUUUUGGCUAGUUAUCAGUCUUCCCGCCUUGUCAGCUUUCCAGUCCUAGUAGGGCUUUUUCAAACUCCCCCAGUGGCCCCUAAGGGAAUCAAUCGUAAGCAUUCCAUCUAGUCUCUUAGCUCUCCAAAGCGAGUUUCUGUCUUUCCGGUUGUGGAAGCAUUCCCGUAGCCUCUUCUGUCCAUUCCUAGAGAGUCUUAUGUGGCCUGGCUUCUUUCAUCGGUGGAAUCUGCCCUCCAGCCCUUCCCUCUUCUGCUAGCCCUUCCCGGUCUACUCUCACCAUGGAAUGAAAGAGAGUGCUAUAUAAUAUAGCAAGCCACCCAAUCAUUACGGUCUUCACAAAGGAAGGAGCUUGACUUUACAACUAGAAGAGGGGCGUAGAGGUGAAAGGCGGGCCGGCCAGUCACCUGCGAAUCGACGGCGGAAGACGUGGUCUUAAGCCGUGAGCACUUGAAGCAUCUAUUUUAGGUGCCGCCCGGAAAGAAAACCGGAUAAGUAUAACAAACGGGGAAGCUUCCCCCAAUCCCCUUGACUCGGAAUGAAGGGAAAGACUGAUCAUGGAUAAGGAGCGAAGACAAGCCGCGAGCUAUGAACGAAGGGCAAGAGACAAGCAAUUGAGGCGAAUCUAGUUCUCAGACGAGCUAGGACACGAGUAUAGGCUAUCAAUGCUAUGCGAAGGGAGUAGAGUGUAUGUAUUUAUUAAGACUUUGGGCAGCAGAACGGCAGGGUUCUUGCCAUAAUAAAAACAUAUGGGGGGGUCCUCUGUAGACAAAGCAAUUUUAUUUAUGACCUUUUAGUCUGGAGGCGGGACUGUCGAUAAGGGCUCGUCCGGAGUCACGAACUUGAUGGGUGCAUGCUGCAGGAGUGGGUCCUUGAAAAUUCCAAAAUGUUAGUUGGGGGUGGCCCUACGUCGUUGUCCAAAGGCGACCAUGAAUCGAACCAGAUCGAAACAUUCAGCUGUCGACGGA
rnacentral:lncRNA from 1 species